rnacentral:rRNA from 1 species
GGAUGAACGCUGGCGGCGUGCUUAACACAUGCAAGUCGAACGAUGAUCCCAGCUUGCUGGGGGAUUAGUGGCGAACGGGUGAGUAACACGUGAGUAACCUGCCCUUGACUCUGGGAUAAGCCUGGGAAACUGGGUCUAAUACCGGAUAUGACUCCUCAUCGCAUGGUGGGGGGUGAAAAGCUUUUGUGGUUUUGGAUGGACUCGCGGCCUAUCAGCUUGUUGGUGGGGUAAUGGCCUACCAAGGCGACGACGGGUAGCCGGCCUGAGAGGGUGACCGGCCACACUGGGACUGAGACACGGCCCAGACUCCUACGGGAGGCAGCAGUGGGGAAUAUUGCACAAUGGGCGCAAGCCUGAUGCAGCGACGCCGCGUGAGGGAUGACGGCCUUCGGGUUGUAAACCUCUUUCAGUAGGGAAGAAGCGUAAGUGACGGUACCUGCAGAAGAAGCGCCGGCUAACUACGUGCCAGCAGCCGCGGUAAUACGUAGGGCGCAAGCGUUAUCCGGAAUUAUUGGGCGUAAAGAGCUCGUAGGCGGUUUGUCGCGUCUGCUGUGAAAGACCGGGGCUCAACUCCGGUUCUGCAGUGGGUACGGGCAGACUAGAGUGCAGUAGGGGAGACUGGAAUUCCUGGUGUAGCGGUGAAAUGCGCAGAUAUCAGGAGGAACACCGAUGGCGAAGGCAGGUCUCUGGGCUGUAACUGACGCUGAGGAGCGAAAGCAUGGGGAGCGAACAGGAUUAGAUACCCUGGUAGUCCAUGCCGUAAACGUUGGGCACUAGGUGUGGGGGACAUUCCACGUUUUCCGCGCCGUAGCUAACGCAUUAAGUGCCCCGCCUGGGGAGUACGGCCGCAAGGCUAAAACUCAAAGGAAUUGACGGGGGCCCGCACAAGCGGCGGAGCAUGCGGAUUAAUUCGAUGCAACGCGAAGAACCUUACCAAGGCUUGACAUGAACCGGAAAGACCUGGAAACAGGUGCCCCGCUUGCGGUCGGUUUACAGGUGGUGCAUGGUUGUCGUCAGCUCGUGUCGUGAGAUGUUGGGUUAAGUCCCGCAACGAGCGCAACCCUCGUUCUAUGUUGCCAGCGGUUCGGCCGGGGACUCAUAGGAGACUGCCGGGGUCAACUCGGAGGAAGGUGGGGACGACGUCAAAUCAUCAUGCCCCUUAUGUCUUGGGCUUCACGCAUGCUACAAUGGCCGGUACAA